rnacentral:rRNA from 1 species
UACAGAGGGGGCGAGCGUUGUUCGGAAUUACUGGGCGUAAAGGGCGCGUAGGCGGCCUCUUAAGUCGAACGUGAAAUCCCCGGGCUCAACCCGGGAACUGCGUCCGAUACUGGGAGGCUUGAAUCCGGGAGAGGGAUGUGGAAUUCCAGGUGUAGCGGUGAAAUGCGUAGAUAUCUGGAAGGAACACCGGUGGCGAAGGCGGCAUCCUGGACCGGUAUUGACGCUGAGGCGCGAAAGCGUGGGGAGCAAACAGG